GGUGGUGCAUGGUUGUCGUCAGCUCGUGUCGUGAGAUGUUGGGUUAAGUCCCGCAACGAGCGCAACCCUUAUUCUUAGUUGCCAUCAUUUAGUUGGGCACUCUAAGGAGACUGCCGGUGACAAACCGGAGGAAGGUGGGGAUGACGUCAAAUCAUCAUGCCCCUUAUGAUUUGGGCUACACACGUGCUACAAUGGAUGGUACAAAGGGCAGCAAAACCGCGAGGUCAAGCAAAUCCCAUAAAACCAUUCUCAGUUCGGAUUGUAGUCUGCAACUCGACUACAUGAAGCUGGAAUCGCUAGUAAUCGUAGAUCAGCAUGCUACGGUGAAUACGUUCCCGGGUCUUGUACACAC
rnacentral:rRNA from 1 species